rnacentral:lncRNA from 1 species
AGCAGUUUCCCUUUUUCACGGUCAGGCCACGUGAAGAUGGCUUCGUCACUGUCCAGCUCCGACUCUGAGUGCAUCAGGCUAGUGUUGAGGACCUGGGCUUUCUGCCUGCCACCUGCUUUGGGAUUUGGUUUUAACUCCAGGCUUUCUUGAUCCGUUGCAUCCAAGAUCUUGUAUUUGCUUUUUCUUUUGGAUUUUCCUUUUCGUCUCUUGCAACAGCAGAUCACCAUCCAGGAUAAGAUUCCAAAGGCAACCACAAUGACGAAAGAUGCAAUGAUCACAUACAGCACACUCCACUCACAGUUACUUUCGCCAUCCC